AGGGUCUGAUCUCUGCACCCCGGGCCCCCGCGCAGACCCGCGGACGAGCGCUGGGUGGGGAUUUCAACCUGCUCCAGCUGAUGUGCGCGGGGUUUGCACCCCGGGGAGGCGAGGGAGAGAGUCCGGCCACGUCCUGCCAGGCCCCGCCCGCGCCCCCGCUGCCCUCCAGCGCGGAACCCAGGUCCCAGGAGACGCGAGGCGCCCAAGGCCCCGGGAUUCCGAGCCAGUCAACCCCGGGCCGCGACGCUCUGGGAACCACACCCGUCCAGGAAGGCACCUUGGCCAAAGCCGGCUCCUUCGCAGAUGACCCGGGCCAGGGUCCGAGCGCCAGGCUGUGACCCCGCGAGGCUGUUCCACGCUGGCCGCGAGAGACGGAGGGCAGGAGGGGCCCGAAUAGGACAGAGAGAGAGAGAGAGAGAGACAGAAGGAGGCGCACGCGCUCCCCAGGGACCGGGACGCGGUGGUGGGCGGGACCUCGCGGGGGUGGGGGGUGGUCGCAGGACCCAGAAGGCUCAGGACCUUUACGGAUAGGGAGGACCCCGCAGGGGGGAGCGGGGGAGCCCCACGCCCGGCGUCCUCCGGGUGCGAGGGUCUCGGGGAGUCCGAGCCCGGGCCCACGGCCUCUGUCCCGCGGCCACUACCUGCUGGGGGUCCCGGGCCUGGGCCACGCCGGGCUGCCCUCGGGGACUUGCUGCGGCCGUUGAGGGGUCUCCGCGCGCCGCGCAGACUCGCCUCCCAACCCGAGGGCCCGGGCGGCCGCCGCCCAGAGCGUCCAGCGGCAGCGUCUUGCUCUCGAAGGCGUCCUCCACGCAGCGGAACACGCAGCCAAGCUUGGGCCGGGCCAGAGGCCUCGCGGGCUCCUGAGGCUGCCGCGCGGUCACGGCAGGAGCGGGCGACAGAAUCCGGUCUCGGAGCCUCCUGUAGCGAGGUCUGCGCGGCAGGUGCACUGGGCGGACCUGGAGGCCGCGCCCUCCCCCCCCGCCUCCUGCCGCCCGGCAGCGCUGCGCGGAGCUGGCUCUGUCCACGUAGCGGGUGCUGAACGCCCCAUUCUGGCCCCUGGGUGCUCGCUUAGUCCCGGCCACGCGUGGCUGCUCGCCCUCGGGACACACUGGGCGCUGGGAAGGCCGGGCGGGGAGCGCGCACCGGAGAAACCGCUGUGGGAAUCCCGGCCACAUUUCCAGGCCCCUUGGGCCGUCCCACGCCAGACAAGAAAGCCCUGACUCCGAAACCCUGGGCGAGUGUGGAGGGCGCGCGGGGGUGGGGUGUACCCGCCCACGCAAACUGCUGCUGAUCUCCCUUAAAGCCGAGUUAGAGGCUUGGGGCGAGACAGGAGUGACGGGCGAUGCUGUCACUCCAUCUGUCAUUCUACCCAGCCUGCAGCAGCUGAAUUCGAACCCAGAGACUUCAGGCCUUUGCGUUGUUACCGCAGUCCGCAUUUCAAAGCCAGAGUUUGGCCACUGAGUCACCAUGACCUCGAGUACUGGCGGGGCCCGAGCCAGCAGAGCUAGCCACAGGAGGGAGCCUCCCAGGUGGUCGACCGGAGCCAGGUGCUGCCAGGCACCCGACUGCAGAGCUUGCCCUCCAGGUGAUCUCGCAGUAUCGGUGUUCACAAGCCCUGUAAGGCACUCGGGGUAUCCUGAAGGCUACAGAUUCUGCAAGGGCAGAGACUUUAAGGAACAGCCAUAGUCCUUCUCCAGCUCAAAAUCUGGACCAUGGGCACAAGGUUGUCCCGGAACCAUCGAUCUCUAGAAGGUACAGGAGGAAGGGGACCUGCCAGUCCAGCCCUCAUAUUUUACAGAGGGAAAAGGUGAAGCCCCAUGUAAAACAGGGAUUUCCCUCGGUGACACUUCCAGGCUGAGAAGGGCCGGGGAUCUGGACACCUACCCAGAAACACUCCCACCCUGUCAAUGCCUCUCUGAAUUAUGUGAUCAACUGCCUGGAGUAUGAACUAGGCACAUGCAAAUAGAGAACAGAGGUCUUGUUGAAAAUAUGAUGCUGAAUUUUAAAAACUCACUCCCCAAAUUAAAGGAACAAGACCAGAGCAUUUGGUUUCCUGUGGUCACUUGAUCCCUCUCCAGAGCCAGCUGCUGCUCUCCAUUGUCAGCACACUCCACUCACUGCCCUAUUUCCAGAACAGGAGACUUUCUGCCCCAUCCAUGGCCGCAACAUACCACUCACACACACACACUACAUGUGCACGUACACACAAUGCACAAUACACAUACCUGCACAUGUGCAAACAGCACAUACACACUGCACAUGCAUGUACACACAAUACACUACACACACAUGCCCACACAAUACGCACAAAUGCACUGUACAUGUGUACACACAAUGCAAAAUACACAUACAGGCACAUGCAAUGCACAACACAUACACAUACAUGCACAUGCCCAAAGACACCACUCACACACAGCACACACAUGCACACGAUAUAUACACACAUGCAUACACAACACACCACUCACAGCACAUGCAUACGCGCACACACACACACGCACACACACGCACACACGCGCGCGCACGCACGCACACACGCACACACACGCACACACACGCGCACACACACACGCACGCACACACACGCGCGCGCAC
rnacentral:lncRNA from 1 species